AUUGAGGAGGAAACUCCCCUCCUUCUCCUUAGUGGACUGAACCAACACAUUACCCCAGUGGAGGUCUCUGAGGACAGACAGGUUAGACAGACAGACAGGUUAGACAGACAGACAUUACCCCAGUGGAGGUCUCUGAGGACAGACAGGUUAGACAGACAGACAGACAUUACCCCAGUGGAGGUCUCUGAGGACAGGAAGACAGGUUAGACAGAGAGACAGGUUAGACAGAGAGACAGGUUAGACAGACAGACAGACAGACAUUACCCCAGUGGAGGUCUCUGAGGACAGGAAGACAGGUUAGACAGAGAGACAGACAUUACCCCAGUGGAGGUCUCUGAGGACAGACAGGUUAGACAGACAGACAGACAGAAAGACAGACAUUACCCCAGUGGAGGUCUCUGAGGACAGACAGGUUAGACAGAGAGACAGACAUUACCCCAGUGGAGGUCUCUGAGGACAGGAAGACAGGUUAGACAGAGAGACAGACAUUACCCCAGUGGAGGUCUCUGAGGACAGGAAGACAGGUUAGACAGAGAGACAGACAGAGAGACAGACAUUACCCCAGUGGAGGUCUCUGAGGACAGACAGGUUAGACAGAGAGACAGACAUUACCCCAGUGGAGGUCUCUGAGGACAGGAAGACAGGUUAGACAGAGAGACAGACAUUACCCCAGUGGAGGUCUCUGAGGACAGGAAGACAGGUUAGACAGACAGACAGACAGACAGACAUUACCCCAGUGGAGGUCUCUGAGGACAGACAGGUUAGACAGAGAGACAGACAGAGAGACAGACAUUACCCCAGUGGAGGUCUCUGAGGACAGGAAGACAGGUUAGACAGAGAGACAGACAGAGAGACAGACAUUACCCCAGUGGAGGUCUCUGAGGACAGGAAGACAGGUUAGACAGAGAGACAGACAUUACCCCAGUGGAGGUCUCUGAGGACAGGAAGACAGGUUAGACAGAGAGACAGACAUUACCCCAGUGGAGGUCUCUGAGGACAGGAAGACAGGUUAGACAGAGAGACAGACAUUACCCCAGUGGAGGUCUCUGAGGACAGGAAGACAGGUUAGACAGAGAGACAGACAUUACCCCAGUGGAGGUCUCUGAGGACAGGAAGACAGGUUAGACAGAGAGACAGACAGAGACAGACAUUACCCCAGUGGAGGUCUCUGAGGACAGGAAGACAGGUUAGACAGAGAGACAGACAGAGAGACAGACAUUACCCCAGUGGAGGUCUCUGAGGACAGGAAGACAGGUUAGACAGAGAGACAGACAGAGACAGACAUUACCCCAGUGGAGGUCUCUGAGGACAGGAAGACAGGUUAGACAGAGAGACAGACAGAGACAGACAUUACCCCAGUGGAGGUCUCUGAGGACAGGAAGACAGGUUAGACAGAGAGACAGACAUUACCCCAGUGGAGGUCUCUGAGGACAGGAAGACAGGUUAGACAGAGAGACAGACAUUACCCCAGUGGAGGUCUCUGAGGACAGGAAGACAGGUUAGACAGACAGACAGACAUUACCCCAGUGGAGGUCUCUGAGGACAGGAAGACAGGUUAGACAGAGAGACAGACAUUACCCCAGUGGAGGUCUCUGAGGACAGGAAGACAGGUUAGACAGACAGACAGACAGAC